CAAACGAAGCUGCAUUUAACACAGCUGCAAGUGAACGCCUCAUGAGACUCUGAAAGAAGUUACGUCGUCACAAGCUGCGGAGCUGUGUAUCACGAAGAACCGGAGAACGGUUGGCGAGUCUGGAUGAGAGGACGGCGGCGGAGUCACUGUGGACGUUGUUCGCUCAGCAGGUUAGAGUGUGGGACUCAAAGGUUUUUGACCCCUCUCCCGUUGUGUCUUUUCCUGUGUGAACUCUGCCGCUCUCAACAGCAGCACUGGCUAUGAGCUAGCUCCUACUAGCUCCAACGAAGCAUCUCUCAACUGCUACAAGGUCCAACUUGACACACAACUUGAAUCCAACCAGACUGAACACUGACUCCAGGGACAGACGAGCCUGAAGGACACAGCUGUGAUGACCAUGUUCUGUCUCUUAUGGCAAAGCAGAAAUAUAAAACACUGGGUUCUUAUCUAAAGUGUUUCAAAUCAGAUCUCCACCAUGUUGCUGCUGAGGACAUCAGGUGCUGCAGUUCUUCAUCUAUGAAGAGAAAAAACGCACUGUUAAAGAAUGUUUUGUGUUGUGUAUAAAGCACAACAGAUUUCAGAUAGAACUGUUGUACUGUGGUCUUGGUUUAUAUCCUCAUGGUGAAAUGUACAUAUUUUAAGUCCCUUCUGAUAAAAGUGCUGAAAGAAAUACAACAUUGUACAAAUACAUAAAAUGUCUUUCUACCUCAUCAGUACUAUUCAAGGUGAUAAUCUCCCACAGACCUAUUGAUAACAGUCCAAAUCAAGUCUUUCCACUUCUCUCAGUGUGAAAACAUAAUUCUAUAAUUAAUUUGAGAACUGUUUACAACACUGAUGUGUGGAGAUUAAAAUCAUACCUAAACUGUCUAAUUCACUGUAAAACUCCAUGACAUUCGCAGGCCAUCUGUAGUUAAGGGAGCAACGCAUGGAGUGAUGUGUAGAUUACUAGUUUGAUGAUGCAUGAGGAGAGGCGGUGGUCGAGUGGCAGAAACUUGGACUAUGGGCAGAGAAGGUCUCUGGUUCGUCUUUGGUUCGACUCCAUGGAGAGACAACAAAAGUCGAACCUGGAUUGAUCUGUCCAAAAAUCCAAGAGUCUCCCUACCCUCUCUAGUGCCCAUGAGCAAGGCACCUCACUCCCCCAACAUCUGCUCCCCCGAGCGCCGUACAUGGUCGCUCACUGCUCUGUGUGUCCUGCACCAGAUGGGUAAAAAGCAGCGAUUAAAUUUCCCUACCUGCAUGAGUGUGCCUUUGCAUGUCUGUGCAUGUGUUUGGGAUGAAUAAAUGGAUUUUAAUCUUAAUCUUUUAAUCUUAAUCAGUUGUCUUCCAGUUGACCAGCAUGAAGCUGCAGAUCUCCACCAUGUUGCUGCUGGGGACAUCAGGAGCUGCAUUAAUGAGGAGCAGAAGCGUACUGUUAUGAAUGUUUUGUGUUGUUUAUGAAGCACUACUUAUUUCAGCUAGAACCGAUGUACUAGGGUCUGGGUUUGUAUCCUAAUGGUUAAAUGCACAUACUUUAAAUCGCUUUUGAUAAAACGUGACAAAGAAAUACAACAUUGUACACAUAGAUAAAAUGUCUUUCUACCUCAUCUGUAAUAUUCAAGGUGAUGAUCUCCCACAGAGCUGUUGAUAACAGUCCACAUCAAGUCUCUCCACUUCCCUCAGUGUGAAAACAUAAUUAUAUAAUUAAUUGGAGAAGUGUUUACAACACUGAUGUGUGGACAUUAUAAUGUUAUCACUACUGUCUAAUUCACUCUACAACUCCAUGACAGACUAAAUAAACAAUGUGAAAAUAGUAAUGGCGGAUAUACCAUCCUGUAUCAGAAUAUUGGUGAAACAGUUACUAUCACAUGAAACGUACACGUGUAGCGUAUUGAUAGUAACUCAUUAAAAAAAAUAAUGU